CCCGGGGAAUACACUUCUAACACUGUCAUUUAAUUUAUUCACAACAAUCAGAUUAGUAAAUUAAUAUAUGCCAAACCCUGUCACUGCUACAGUCCAUGGAUAUUUCUCCAUGCCUGCAUCUGAAUGUCUGACAGUUUGUUUACAGGAUCACCGAGAUGAAAAACUCAAAUCAUUUUGGCUUAGCAUCAAGAGCAGCCUCUAUUUUAGCAGCCUGCAGUGGCAGCUCCCAAUGAAUUUUAAUAAGCCGUUAACAAUGCGUGCGCGUUUUGUUGUCGGCGGAAGCGUGCGAAGCGACGGGGUGACAUACACUUAUUGCAGGAUACAAAAGGAUGAAUAAUGCGUUUCCCACGCGUCCUGCGUGGCCGAGCAGCCUCCUGAGGUGGCUCGGCCCCUUUUGCCGCGCUGGGUGCCAGAGUACGGGGUGGCAGGAGCUGUGCUGUCACCUCUGUCACCUCUCGGCUUGUCCUCCUUGCGGUGACUCUCCAUGAGGCUCAUUAAAAUGGAAAGAGGUCGUGGUCACUGCCCGUUUCUCCUCCAUCCAGCUGGCAGGUCCCUCUCCAGCGCUGGCCCACAAACAACCGGUGCGGAGUCUCCUCUGCCAGUACUGACUGAGGGAGAGGCCCCGAGGGACUUGGUGGCAUCAAGCACAAGCGUCCCUGUCCUCAUGGUGGAGAUGGAGUCCCCCCUUCCCCAGCAGAUGCCCGCAGCCCCGUGCCCGGCCUCACCCCCUGUGCUGCUGUCUCCUCCUGAGAGUGAAAGCAAAGACGCUGGGAGGGAAGGUGUGGAGCCUGCAGAUCCCGGGACACCCAGCAGCCCCCAGCUCCCCCCCCCCCCGAUCAACUGGAGCUCAGCACCAGCAAAAGGCAUGUUGGCAUCUCCCAGCCCCCCUCCUGAUUCCUUCCCAGCCUCGUCCUGUGUGCAGCUGUAAUCAGGGGGCACAGCCGGGUCCCACCGCCCUCCCUGGGGGGGACUCUGCCUUCCAGGUGCUAAUAGCGGUUGGCAGAAAACCUGGUGCCUCAACUGCUGGCAAGGCAGCUCUGCACCAGAGGCAGGGGACCGUAACCAGCACAUGGGGAAAUCGCACAUCCACAAUUUGCCCCAAGCCAAGGAGCUUCUGGGAAAAAAAAAAAAAAAAAAAGAAACAACAACAAAAAAAAAAGCUUUUACAAAAAAGCUCAAGCAAAGCGACAUGUUAACCUCACUCUUUACGCCCACUCCAGUGAACGCAAAGCACCAUCCCGGUUGAUUUUUUUUCCAGCCCUGUUCUCCACACCCCUCUGCUCCCAACUGCUCCGCACUAAGGCACAAACAACAAAUCCCCAAACCUUUCAUUUUGCCGGCGUUUUAGCGGCCCUUCCAAAUUGCAUGGUUGCAGCGAGUGGGUGGCUGAAGGCUCCGUACAAAUGAUGCCCUUUUUGCUUUCCUGGAAAGCGCCUUUGAUGUUUCUCUGCUGAAAACCAAAGCCAAAAGCAGGGGGGGAAGCAUGAGUUGCAGAGAAGAGCUAAGAAGAAUGUCCGGCAGGUCCUCAACAAUUCAGCCAUGCCAGGAACCGGGCCCUGGCUGGUCGGUGCUCUCCUUUCAGCCAGUCUUACCCAGCUGCCGUUGAACCCACGGGUAGUUACACGCGUAUCUUCUUGGCCGUUUGUGAACCUGAAGUCACUUACUGUGGAGCAGACAUGGAGCGCCGAUGUCCUGGUGUCCACCCCUUCCUCUUCCCGUGGCCCCGACAUCUCCUUCCCCACAAACUCCUUUGGAGUUCAGGCUGGAGGGUCGCCUCUUAGCUCCCGCACGGCAGAAGCAGACUGAGCCCCACAUCUACACCAGCUCAGGACUAUCCCCCUCACCACUUCCACCGCCGUCCUCUCCAAACAUCCAGUCUGCAACGUCUCCGCGCCUGCCCGGGCAGCCCAUGCACUGGAUGAUGGGUUGCAGAGCUGGGUGGGGACGUGCCAAAGAAGUGUUCCUACAGCAAGCUUCAGUUCUGCCUGUGGUGGCCUUGGUCCUGCUCCUGGGGACAGGACAGGAAUGUUGUAAGGGUCUAUAAACCAUUUCCCACCCAGGCUGCAUCCACUCUGGUGCCAUAUGGCCGUUAGAAA